AUUGAACGCUGGCGGCAUGCUUUACACAUGCAAGUCGAACGGUAACAGGGUGCUUGCACCGCUGACGAGUGGCGAACGGGUGAGUAAUGCAUCGGAACGUACCCAGUCGUGGGGGAUAACGUAGCGAAAGUUACGCUAAUACCGCAUACGUCCUGAGGGAGAAAGCGGGGGACCGUAAGGCCUCGCGCGAUUGGAGCGGCCGAGGUCGGAUUAGCUAGUUGGUAGGGUAAAGGCCUACCAAGGCGACGAUCCGUAGCGGGUCUGAGAGGAUGAUCCGCCACACUGGGACUGAGACACGGCCCAGACUCCUACGGGAGGCAGCAGUGGGGAAUUUUGGACAAUGGGCGAAAGCCUGAUCCAGCCAUGCCGCGUGAGUGAAGAAGGCCUUCGGGUUGUAAAGCUCUUUCAGAUGGAAAGAAAACGUACAGGUUAAUACCUUGUGCGGAUGACGGUACCAUCAGAAGAAGCACCGGCUAACUACGUGCCAGCCGCCGCUGUAAAAC
rnacentral:rRNA from 1 species